rnacentral:rRNA from 1 species
CUGCGCCCGAUUAGGUUGUUGGUGGGGUGAUGGCCCACCAAGGCCUACGAUCGGUACGGGCAGUGGGAGCUGAAGCCCGGAGUUGGGGACUGAGACAAGGCCCCAGGCCCUACGGGGCGCAGCAGGCGCGAAACCUCUGCAAUGCGGGAAACCGUGACAGGGGGAUCCCAAGUGCUCAUGCAUUGCAUGGGCUGUUCUUUGGUCUAAGUAAGCAGAGGAGUAAGGGCUGGGCAAGACCGGUGCCAGCCGCCGCGGUAAUACCGGCAGCUCAAGUGGUAGCCGCGAUUAUUGGGCCUAAAACGUUCGUAGCCGGAUAAGUAAGUCUUUGGUUAAAUCCUGCGACUUAACCGUGGGAAAUCUAGAAAUACUGCUUGUCUUGAGACCGGGAGAGGUUAGAGGUACUCCCAGGGUAGGGGUGAAAUCCUGUAAUCCUGGGGGGACCACCUGUGGCGAAGGCGUCCAACUGGAACGGGUCUGACGGUGAGGGACGAAACCUAGGGGAGCGAGCCGGAUUAGAUACCCGGGUAGUCUUAGGCGUAAAUGAUGCGAGUUAAGUGUGGGGGCAUCCACGAGAUGGCCCUGUGCUGUAGGGUAGCCGUUAAACUCGCUGCCUGGGGAGUACGGUCGCAAGGCUGAAACUUAAAGGAAUUGGCGGGGGAGCACCACAAGAGGUGGAGGCUGCGGUUCAAUUGGAUUCAACGCCGGG